rnacentral:misc_RNA from 1 species
AUGAUUUUUAUUAUUUGUGAAGGUACUACGAAUUAACAACAAUAUUUAUAGUCAAAACAAAAUAAAUCA